AGUACAGAUAAUACUCUGAGUAAUUGCUUUUAAUUUGAACAAAGUCUGUCUGUGCGGAAAUUUUAGAAAACACCCUUGGGACGUGUUAUAUAAACUGCUUAAUGGCAACAAUUUAUUUAAUAGCUAAAAUGAUAGUAACAGAGAAGUAAGUGGCUGGCUGAGUAGGUUAUAACAACAGACAAUCAGGACGAUUUACUAAGAGUGGAGCAUCUACUGAAAUCAG